UCUAAGCUGUGCACCUGUAACUACACUUUGUGCUGGUGCCUGAGACCUCUGCCUGCCCAGCCUCAGUUUCCUCAGCUGUCCAUGGGGUGGAGGUGGAGCCCCUCUGCUCUGCACUGAAGGAUUUCCCAGGCUACUGUGUCACCCUUCGGGCUCAAGGAAGUUUGUGAAAAUGCUGUCUGCUGGGUCCCGCCAAGGACAAGUUUUAAAGGACCUGUGUCCCGCCACCCACGCACUUUCACCAUCUCCUGGGAUACUGAGGAAAUGAGCCAUUCACAGCCAGCUCCUCAGUGCUGGGUCUGAGCUGAGGGUCCGUGUGGAAGUGACCAGCAGGGACCACAACUAGGCCUGUCUCUAUAGCAGUCUCUGUCUGUGGCUGACAGGAAGGACUGGGCAGUCAAGGUGUCCUGAUCUGCAGAGGGCCUUCGGAGGCCUGGGAGGAGCGGCCCAGGAGGAGGCCAGGUGUGCUCUCCUGGCUGGGCACCAUCCAGGCACCAGAGGAUUCCAAACACAGAGCUGUGCACAUAAGGCCCUGAGUGUGAGCCAUCCGCUUCCCUGAGGGCCACUGCUCUUCCAGCCCACGAAUGCUGUCUGUGCCGAGCGGAGCCCGAAAUGCCACGUUUCCUGUCCCUGGCUCAGAUGGCAUCUUGGCUGGCAGGGGCCACGGCCCCACAAGCCAGUUGCUGGGCAGUGCCCAGGGCCGCAUGCAGUUGGUAGGCUGGAGGGCAGCUCACGAGCUGACAGAGCCCUGUCAGUACAAAGGGGCAUUUAUAGGACGGAGAUGGCAUGUCUCCAUCAGAACUCAGAGAAGACAGGAAUAGCCCUGCACGCAGCGCCAGCAGGGCUGGGCUGGCUGGCGCUGGAGGGUGUCAGCUUUCCGCUCCUUCUCCAAGCUGGACCGCCAGGCCACUGUCCCUAGGGAGUGCUCACCCCAUCUGGGCAGGGGGCUUUCUGAUAGCUCCUCCUGCUGUUAAAACAUGGGGAGAGAGAAAGGCAGGGAACCAGGAGGAGGGUGGAGGAAAGGAGAAAACGAGAGAGUGGAGAGAGGAGUGGGGGAGAAUGCAAAUAUUGGUUAGGUCUCCCUGGGACACCUGUCUCAGCAGCUUCCCCUGAUGUGAGUGCCGCUUGACCUCCAGGGGCCUCCAGAGUAGGACUUCCCGACCCUCGUCUCAGGAAGCUGAAAGCAAAAGGCCUUGCACUCCAGGAGCGGGUCACGUGCCCUGCAAACACCAGCCCUUCCGGCCACAGGCAGCUAUGCUUGUGUUAUUUCUCCUGCCUGUGAUGUCCCUCAAAACAUGCAGAGGGAGGAGGAAUGACUCCUCCUUACUGGUGCGCUUUCUGCUGCGAAUAACAAUGGCACAGCCUGGACGGAACCACAAGAGUCAACUGCAAGGGCUUCACCCUAACAACUUCAAGCCAAAUCACCUCCUGAAGGUCCCACCUCAGCCCCAUGGCCACGUUAACUUCCCACCCUCCUACUGUCUCACAGCAGAGAUUAAAAGUCAACCCAGGAAGCACUGGGGCACAUGCUCAAGCCAUGUCCAAACUCUAUCACAACUGUAAAUCUUUUUUACAAUUUCAGUGUGCUAAAACCAAUGUGGAUAAUGUUUUAGGGAAGUUAAGAAGUAGCUCAGUUGUUAGUGAUAUAGAGAUUGAAAAUUAAAAGGUUUAGGUAAACAAAAUCUCUUUUUCCUGAACAUGAAAGAAAGGUGGACAUAGGCAAUCUAAGCCUGGUUUGGCACCUCCAUAAUCUUACUAGGGAAUUUUUUUUCUCUGCUUUGCAUAGAAUCCAACUUCAAAGUACCCUCAGGCCCAAAACGGCCACUGAAAAUCCAACCAUCACAGCAAGAAGUAGGCAUAGAGAACAAAAGGAAGCUGCAACCUGAGGCAGAUAUUGCAGAUCAGCCACUGUCAUGUCCCUGAUUUUAUUUUGAGGCACAUUGUAUCCAGCUGACUUUGUAGCAAGAGGUAGCAGUGAGACGUAAGCAGAAUUUGUUGAAUGUGACUCUGAAGAGCUCCUUACCAGGACAGACAUUUAGAAGUGGAUAAACAUAGCAGGUGAAAAGGUACUUUGUUGGCUCCUUCUAGAAGGCAAAUUUUCAAAUACAUAGUCGUGAUUAAAAUAUGC